GAUGAACGCUGGCGGCGUGCCUAAUACAUGCAAGUCGAGCGAACAGACGAGGAGCUUGCUCCUCUGACGUUAGCGGCGGACGGGUGAGUAACACGUGGAUAACCUACCUAUAAGACUGGGAUAACUUCGGGAAACCGGAGCUAAUACCGGAUAAUAUAUUGAACCGCAUGGUUCAAUAGUUAAAUACGGUUUUUCUGUCACUUAUAGAUGGAUCCGCGCCGCAUUAGCUAGUUGGUAAGGUAACGGCUUACCAAGGCAACGAUGCGUAGCCGACCUGAUAGGGUGAUCGGACACACUGGAAGUGAGACACGGUCCAGACACCUACGGGAGGCAGCAGUAGGGAAUCUUACGGAAUGGGGGAAAGCCUGACGGAGCAAAGCCGCGUGAGAGAUGAAGGUCUUCGGAUCGUAAAACUCUGUUAUUAGGGAAGAACAAAAGUGUAAGUAACUAUGCACGUCUUGACGGUACCGAAUCAGAAAGCCACGGCUAACUACGUG
rnacentral:rRNA from 1 species